AGUGACUUGUGGGGUCAGUCGGUAGAAAGAGAUUUUCCUACUGGCCUGUCAAGUCGGUGU
rnacentral:pre_miRNA from 1 species